CAACGUUGCAGUCCGAGUGGAAAAUGGCGUGUGUCCUACUGGCUCUACAAUCUGCUUUAUAAAGAAUUGUGAAGGACGGAAGGAAAAUGAGAGCAAGUGGCUGAAGUGGAGUUUCUUGUGAAUUAUGAGAUCCAGGAUGAUUUUAGCCGAAUCACAAUGGUGCACCUCGAAUCGAAGUUCACGUCCAAGCUGGAUGAAUAUACUCCUCGGCUUCUGAACCGCUUCUGCUCUAAGGGCGGAAGCAUGGGGUUGAAUUUGCAGAAGCCUCUGAGCAAUCCCAACAUCAACAUGACCAGAGAUGCUUUCAUUUGAUGUUUGAUGAUGUACCUUGGGGAAUCUACAGAUGAACUCUUAAAAGAGUAUGAUGAUGCUGAUGAAGGCAGUGUGUCGGAGGACCUAUGGUGGCGGAGCGCGUGAAAGUUCUGACUGCUCACGGUAUCAGACCUGUGAUCCCAAACAAGGAAGUAGACAGACAGCUGAAAGUAUCUUGUGUGGCCCCCACGAGCUUGUAUGCAUGCUUGACAACGUCGCGGCAUGCUCCUAAUGAGACAACGGAUGGCGUCUUGUGGCAUUUCCUCCCAGAUCUGUGUGAGGGCAUCCCUGAGCUGUUGUACAGUCUGAGGAGCAACCUGGUGGCGCCUAAUGGACCGAAACAUAAUGUCCCAGAGAUGUCGUAUUGGGUUUAAGUCAGGGGAUCGUGAUCGUGUCGUGCAUUAGGAGGAAACCAGGACCUACUGCACCAGCGUAGGGUCUGACAAUGGGUUCAAGGAUUUCAUCUCGAUACCUUAUGGCAGUCAGAGCACCAUUUCCUAGGCAGUAGAGGUCUGUGCGUCCCUCCAUGGAUAUGCCUCCCCAGACCAUCACUGACCCACCACCAAACCUGUCAUGUUGAACGACGUUGCAGUCAGCAUAGCGUUCUCCUUGUCUUCUCCAGACUCUUUCACGUCUAUCACAGGUGCUCAGGGUGAA